AGUGAGUGUGUCUGGGGGAACGAUCGAACAAGGAAGGAGGAGGGGGAAACCCUAAACUCAAGAAAUCAAGCAAUUGAAGCCUAAAAUCAUAAGAAAAUCCAGUGCAUGAGCCAUCUUAUCGAUCAUCUAAGCAUACCUAGUGAAGUGCUUGAAAGAAUAAGAACCAUGUCAAGAUGGACCAACUCAUGGGAAGCAAACGGGUCAAAGAGGAGGCAAAGAAACUAGCAUAAACAUGGCGAGCACAAGAUGGCUGAUGCAAGCAACGUUAAUGAUGAUGAUGAUACUAUUCGUCAAGAAGCAUUAUUCAACAAGAUCACAGAAGUGGCGGAAGGGAUGAUCCGUGAACGCGGUCUAGGACCGACAUCAAGCUUGAAAGAAUAAGAACCAUGUCAAGAUGGACCAACUCAUGGGAAGCAAACGGGUCAAAGAGGAGGCAAAGAAACUAGCAUAAACAUGGCGAGCACAAGGUAAGUGAUUUCUAUAAUCACUUCUUUAGUUGUUUAAGUAAUAUAAUGUUUUAAUUAUUAAGUUCAUAUGAAGUUGAGGUCAAAUCAAUAGAUUAUUUUGAUAAAUGCACGAAUGGGUCGAAUAAUUCAUAGAUAAAUAACAAGCCGAAUACGUAUAAGUUAAGAAAUUCCUUAACUCGGAUGUUGGACUUCAAGGUCACAUGAUAGAAUAUUAAAUUACAAUCAUAUAGGAAGAAACGUGACGCAAAACGGAUGAAAAAUGAGAGAGUUAUGUCCGUUUCGGUAAGGAUUAAUGGCUAGGAAAAGUGCAGAGUUGACACGGCCGGGUGGUGAACUGACACGGCCGGGUGAAGGUUCUGUCAAAAAUAUUAUUUAUGUGAUUUAUGCGCCGUAGGUUUCGGUAUAUUAUCCAUGAACUACGACGGGCCUCCCAAACAUGAUUUCGAGUGUUUCCUUGACGAUUAUAAGUUGUAAACCCAAGUCUAAGCCUCAUGUAAUUUAUAUAAGAGUGUGUUAGAUGUAUGUAAUGAGGUUGGACAUGUAUUACAUGUAAAUGUAUACAAAAAUACGUACGGAACACGUAGGUAUGAAUACAUGAUUGUAGGUGUGAUUAAAUGUAUAUUAGGUAUGUAGAUGUGUAUGAUUGUAAGAUUGUAUGUGUGCAAGUAUGUGCGAAUGCAUGAUUUGGAUGCAUUUGAGAAUUAGCAUUACUAAUAAUGCCCUUGGGUUUGGAAUAUAAGUUAAUUGGAUGCAUUUAAAUGGUUGACGUCCUUUUUAUGAAGAUGUAGUAAAUGAAUAUGUUGAGAUUACGGGUUUGGCUAACCAAGUUAUUAUUGAGUAUGUUUAAAAGUGCAGGUAAUGAAUGUCGGACUUCCAAAGUGUUGAUAUAAUAAUGAAACGGUUGAAUCUUGAAAGGAUAAUCGGAUUGAACUAACUUAUGCGGUUAAAAUAUGCUGUGGACGUUUUAGUUUAUACAACAUUUUAUGUUUGGUCGUCAUCAUCUACCAACGGGUUAGUUGUUUGAAAAUAUAUGUCAUACCCAUUUAAUUGGGUAAUCGAAUGCGCGAGAGAAAUGAAAGUACAUACACGAAUGGAACUAAAGUGACAGUUUUAUAAGUAAAUAAGUAAAUGACUAACUUUUUAAAGCUUUGUUGUUGAAUGUAGGUAAAUCCUCAAUUCAGGCGACUUGGAGAAUCGGAGCGAGCGCAUGUUCAUGUUAUGUCAUACCAAAUGCUUCCGCUAGCUUGUUCAAAUGUUUUUAGUCCAAAAUUUGUUGUAUUGGUUCUUAGUAGUAUUUUGUCGAAUGAAUCGUAGAAUUGUAUCUAGUUUGAUUAUGUUUAAAACAGGGGAAUGCUCGUUUUAUGGACGGGUCAUGCCCAAUUUUUGUUAAAUCAAUGCACCUGCGUUAUU
rnacentral:lncRNA from 1 species